GCCCGCAUGGCUCAGUGGUAGAGCGCAUCACUAGUAAGUAUUCAUGUUGUAUUACAUCUACAAAGAUGUAAACAUUUGUACAAUGAUGAGGUCGUCAGUUCGAUUCUGGCUGUGGGCA